UCUGGAGUGGACCGCCGGCAGAACGCACACAUCCCUGCUCAUAACCUGGAGGUCGUGGGUUCGAAUCCCACCCCCGCAACCA
rnacentral:tRNA from 1 species